rnacentral:rRNA from 1 species
UGGGGAAUAUUGGACAAUGGGCGGAAGCCUGAUCCAGCCAUGCCGCGUGUGUGAAGAAGGCCUUUUGGUUGUAAAGCACUUUAAGCGAGGAGGAGGCUACUAGUACUAAUACUACUGGAUAGUGGACGUUACUCGCAGAAUAAGCACCGGCUAACUCUGUGCCAGCAGCCGCGGUAAUACAGAGGGUGCGAGCGUUAAUCGGAUUUACUGGGCGUAAAGCGCGCGUAGGCGGCUGAUUAAGUCGGAUGUGAAAUCCCUGAGCUUAACUUAGGAAUUGCAUUCGAUACUGGUCAGCUAGAGUAUGGGAGAGGAUGGUAGAAUUCCAGGUGUAGCGGUGAAAUGCGUAGAGAUCUGGAGGAAUACCGAUGGCGAAGGCAGCCAUCUGGCCUAAUACUGACGCUGAGGUACGAAAGCAUGGGGAGCAAACAGG